AGUGGGGAAUAUUGGACAAUGGGGGCAACCCUGAUCCAGCAAUGCCGCGUGUGUGAAGAAGGCCUGAGGGUUGUAAAGCACUUUCAAUUGGGAGGAAAACCUGGCGGUUAAUACCCGUCAGCUUGACAUUACCUUUAGAAGAAGCACCGGCUAACUCCGUGCCAGCAGCCGCGGUAAUACGGAGGGUGCGAGCGUUAAUCGGAAUUACUGGGCGUAAAGCGUACGUAGGUGGUUGUCUAAGUCAGAUGUGAAAGCCCCGGGCUUAACCUGGGAACUGCAUUUGAUACUGGGCGACUAGAGUUUAGUAGAGGGGAGUGGAAUUUCCGGUGUAGCGGUGAAAUGCGUAGAGAUCGGAAGGAACACCAGUGGCGAAGGCGACUCCCUGGACUAAAACUGACGCUGAGGUACGAAAGCGUGGGUAGCAAACAGGAUUAGAUACCCUGGUAGUCCACGCCGUAAACGAUGUCAACUAGCCGUUGGGCCUAUAUACAGGUUUAGUGGCGCAGCUAACGCAUUAAGUUGACCGCCUGGGGAGUACGGCCGCAAGGUUAAAACUCAAAUGAAUUGACGGGGGCCCGCACAAGCGGUGGAGCAUGUGGUUUAAUUCGAUGCAACGCGAAGAACCUUACCUACCCUUGACAUCCUCGGAACUUGUCAGAGAUGACUUGGUGCCUUCGGGAACCGAGAGACAGGUGCUGCAUGGCUGUCGUCAGCUCGUGUCGUGAGAUGUUGGGUUAAGUCCCGUAACGAGCGCAACCCUUAUCCUUAGUUGCCAACAGUUCGGCUGGGAACUCUAAGGAGACUGCCGGUGAUAAACCGGAGGAAGGUGGGGACGACGUCAAGUCAUCAUGGCCCUUAUGGGUAGGGCUACACACGUGCUACAAUGGCCAGUACAGAGGGCAGCGACCUCGCGAGAGCAAGCAAAUCCCAGAAAGCUGGUCCUAGUCCGGAUUGCAGUCUGCAACUCGACUGCAUGAAGUCGGAAUCGCUAGUAAUCGCGAAUCAGAAUGUCGCGGUGAAUACGUUCCCGGGCCUUGUACACACCGCCCGUCACACCAUGGGAGUGGGUUGCAAAAGAAGUGGGUAGUCUAACCUUCGGGAGGGCGCUCACCACUUUGUGAUUCAUGACUGGGGUG
rnacentral:rRNA from 1 species